UUCAGACAUGUUUCAACCUACUAUUUACACGAAAUUUAAUUUGUAUAUUUAAGAUUUGCUCCAUAGAGAAUCUGUUUCAGUUCUUUUCUUUCCCACAGGACUCUUAAUUGCUCUAUCACCUCCAUGUGGUGCUUCUCCAGCCAUGACUCAACGACUUUAAAUGACUGUAUUUAUUUUAAGAGAAACUUUAGUGCCUAUAAAAACAGCAUGUUCUCCUGCAGCACAUCUGUUCUCUCUCUGAGUUUUAUAUCAUCACUUUGCCAGAGGUUUUACUUGAUAGUUCAAGGGAGCUUGGUGUGCUCUGAUUCAACUGGAUUCUUAUUGGCAGGACUUGUCUAAAUUCUGAGUGAUGAAGACUUUAUGGUGCCAAAAUAUUCAUUUGAUGAGAAGUCAAUUGGGGGUCAGUUUAUUGAUUGGUUAAGGUACCCCUUUAUUCAUCCAUGUUCAACCACUUUUUAAUGAGUUAUGUGACAUGUUUUAGGGCACAGGAGUUACUCUACAGCUUUCACGCCAUUCUAGGGCACAGAGAUCUUUGUGAAGUUAUCUUUAGUCCUGUAGGCCGCGUUUCAUUGCAUGGCCAGUUUCUCUGGAGAGUAGUGUAGCCUCCUCUUGGCUGUAAUUGGUAAAUGAGGCAAAAUUUCCUACUGAUAUUGAAAACUUCUAUUCUAAUUUGGGAAGUGUUUUCCCCCCACAGCCCACAGGGCCUUGACCUACUCUUCUACUGUACAUGAUUUUAAAAAAAAAACAGGAAAAAAGGAAACCACUGUUUUCAAGUAUUAGACAGCAGAACAGGACUGUUAUCUCCAAGAGAAGGGAAACAAACAAGCUCAGCCAAACAAUCACCCCAAAUGUUAAACUAUUAUUCCUGAUUUAAAAUGAACUGGUUAGCUUUUUAACCUUCAGUUUCUUUACUUGUGAAAUAGGGAUAAUAUUAGUGCCUAC
rnacentral:lncRNA from 1 species